UACGUAGGGUGCGAGCGUUGUCCGGAAUUACUGGGCGUAAAGAGCUUGUAGGUGGUUUGUCGCGUUGUUCGUGAAAACUCACAGCUCAACUGUGGGCGUGCGGGCGAUACGGGCAGACUGGAGUACUGCAGGGGAGACUGGAAUUCCUGGUGUAGCGGUGGAAUGCGCAGAUAUCGGGAAGAACACCCGUGGCGAAGGCGGUUCUCUGGGACGGUACUGACGCUGAGACGCGAAAGCGUGGGGAGCGAACAGG
rnacentral:rRNA from 1 species